rnacentral:rRNA from 1 species
AUUGAACGCUGGCGGCAGGCCUAACACAUGCAAGUCGAACGAGUGGCGGACGGGUGAGUAAUGUCUGGGAAACUGCCUGAUGGCGGGGGAUAACUUCUGGAAACGGUAGCUAAUACCGCAUACCAUCGGAUGUGCCCAGAUGGGAUUAGCGAGUAGGUGGGGUACAGGCGCACCAAGGCGACGAUCCCGAGCGGGUCUGAGCGGAAGACCAGCCAAACGGGAACUGAGACACGGUCCAGACUCCUACGGGAGGCAGCAGUGGGGAAUAUUGUACAAUGGGCGCAAGCCGGAUGCAGCCAUGCCGCGUGUAUGAAGAAGGCCUUCGGUUUGUAAAGUACUUUCAGCGGGGAGGCGUUACCCGCAGAAGAAGCACCGGCUAACUCCGUGCCAGCAGCCGCGGUAAUAC